GACUGUAUAUGCAAGAUCCAUCCAGUUUGGCAACAGUAUCAUAUGCGUCUCCUUUACCGAUAUCAGAGAAGCCGUGAAGUGGCUCAGCAGCUUUCCAUGAGCUAAGGGAUGGCUCUCAGGUCUGAUGGAGCGUCAUAGGUCACUGUACAGUAUAAAUAUGAAAGCACUCUACGGUAAACUGUUUCCUCCAUGAGGUUAUUCCUUGUUUUACUAGGUGAACUCUAAGGUCCUUAAUGGUGUCUCCUGGCCUGAUUGUUACAGGA